AGGGUUUGAUCCUGGCUCAAACGUACGCUGGCGGCACGCCUAACACAUGCAAGUCGAACGAAGUAGCAAUACUUAGUGGCAGACGGGUGAGUAACACGUAGGUAUCUACCCUUUGGCCUGGAAUAACACGAGGAAACUUGUGCUAAUACCGGAUAAGUCUUUACGGAGAAAGCUUUAUGCACCAUUGGAUGAGCCUGCACUUGAUUAGUUUGUUGGUGGGUAAUGGCCUACCAAGACUGUGAUCAAUAGCUGAUUUGAGAGGAUGAUCAGCCACAUUGGGACUGAGACACGGCCCAAACUCCUACGGGAGGCAGCAGUGGGGAAUCUUGCACAAUGGAGGAAACUCUGAUGCAGCGAUGCCGCGUGAGUGAAGAAGGCCCUUGGGUUGUAAAGCUCUUUCGUCGGGGAAGAAAAUGACUGUACCCGAAUAAGAAGGUCCGGCUAACUUCGUGCCAGCAGCCGCGGUAAUACGAAGGGACCUAGCGUAGUUCGGAAUUACUGGGCUUAAAGAGUUCGUAGGUGGUUGAAAAAGUUAGUGGUGAAAUCCCAGAGCUUAACUCUGGAACUGCCAUUAAAACUUUUCAGCUAGAGUAUGAUAGAGGAAAGCACAAUUUCUAGUGUAGAGGUGAAAUUCGUAGAUAUUAGAAAGAAUACCAAUUGCGAAGGCAGCUUUCUGGAUCAUUACUGACACUGAGGAACGAAAGCAUGGGUAGCGAAGAGGAUUAGAUACCCUCGUAGUCCAUGCCGUAAACGAUGUGUGUUAGACGUUGGAAAUUUAUUUUCAGUGUCGCAGCGAAAGCGAUAAACACACCGCCUGGGGAGUACGACCGCAAGGUUAAAACUCAAAUGAAUUGACGGGGACCCGCACAAGUAGUGGAGCAUGUGGUUUAAUUCGAAGAUACGCGCAGAACCUUACCAACACUUGACAUGUUCGUCGCGACUCUAAGAGAUUAGAGUUUUCGGUUCGGCCGGACGAAACACAGGUGCUGCAUGGCUGUCGUCAGCUCGUGUCGUGAGAUGUUGGGUUAAGUCCCGCAACGAGCGCAACCCUCACUUUUAGUUGCCAUCAUUUAGUUGGGCACUCUGAAAGAACUGCCAGUGAUAAGCUGGAGGAAGGUGGGGAUGACGUCAAGUCCUCAUGGCCCUUACGUGUUGGGCUACACACGUGCUACAAUGGUAUCUACAACAGGAAGCAAGACUGCGAGGUCAAGCAAAUCCUUAAAAGAUACCUCAGUUCGGAUUGCACUCUGCAACUCGAGUGCAUGAAGCUGGAAUUACUAGUAAUCGUGGAUCAGCGUGCCACGGUGAAUGCGUUCCCGGGUCUUGUACACACCGCCCGUCACACCAUGGGAGUUGGUUCUACCUUAAGGCAAGGUUUAAAACCCUUGACCACGGUAUAGUCAGCGACUGGGGUGAAGUCGUAACAAGGUAACCAAGGG
rnacentral:rRNA from 1 species